GACGGAGUAUCUCUGUUGGGGCGCUUCUCCUUCAAUGUUUUCACAUUCAUCGCAGAUUCUGAAGAAGUGUAUCUACACUGUCGUAUCCGCCUCUGCAACUUCUGGGUGGCCAAAUGCACAGUGAACUGCCAUUCACCAGACUCUGUGAUAGUGGGAAGGAAGCCUCCAUCAGCCAUCAUCUCAGCUGGUCCUUUCUUGAAAUACAGUAGCAAUUUGCUAGAUCACGCACUUUAGUGUCCUGGACUCCCUGCUGACCUCUUUUCCUGGGAACAUGGAUGGAUGGAUGGAUGGACAUUGCAGACAAUGAGGUCUAUCAUUCACAGAGAGAUUUUCAGGCUGAUAUAGUCUUUGGUUGAAUCAAUAAGGGACAGAGAACAUUGUAACUCAGGAGGUGAAAAAAGCUCUGGAUGAUGCUAGGAGUCAUAGUUAGAUACAGUCUUGAUUAUUCAAUGGUUGAAUGUAUGUAUAAUUAAAGUUGCGAAGUACACAAAA